rnacentral:lncRNA from 1 species
GUUCUUGUAAACUCACUGGGUACUUUUUACUAACUAGUUGCAGUUACAUUUUUUUUUAUAAUCAUACAGUCAUGAUAAGAACACACCCAUAUUAAAGGCAAUAAUAAAAUAAUAGAGUGGUAAAAUAAUGUCCUAAUUGUCAAAUAGAGACAAUAUGUAAAGAUGGAUUCUUCACCAUAAGACAGCUGCACUGGUUUCUAGUAGGAACUGGUGGGUGAGGAGGGAAAGGCACAAGUGUACUGAGUCUCUGGUCAAGGGCAAAAGGUGAAUGGUUUAGAUCCACUCAGAGAGAGCAAACUCCUGAAGUCUUGAAAGGCAUUCUCCUUUCUCCCCAUCACAGAUACAAAUGUAAAAUGACCUGAAAUAAUCUGGCUGAGUGUUAGCAAAUGGUUGUAAGUGUCCUGAUUUGUUUCUGCUUUCAGAUUUACUCCAGAGCACUCCACAGGAAGGUUUGAUAUAUAACAGAGCAAACUUCAAAGGAAAAUGAACAUGUUAACUCUUCAAUUUUUUCCUCUCAUAAAGAGGGUAAUUUUUAAAUGUUUAUUUUCACUGAUUCAUUUACAGCUUCAAAAGUAAGUUGAAGCAUCUUACUACUGACACAGAACAUGGUAAAGAAAGGUGAGAAUAAUUAGACGUGUAAUAUUUUUACAUCAAAUAUAUACAUUAUUUUUUGUGGAAAGUUUUCUAAAAGUUAAAUUUUUAUUUCUAUUUCUAUAGUUAAAUUUUUAGAAUUUAAUAAAAAGCUAAAUUAAAUGUGAAAUGUCUUUUUAUAAACUAUUUGAACACUUGAAAUAUACAAGAAUUAUUAAGUUGGUGUCCACUGUGUUGAUUUAGCUCACAUAUCGAACGUCAUAUAAACACGCUGUAAGUGCCUCUGAGUUGAGAGCUCUCUGGUCCCCUUCAAUCCAGAGAGAGCAAGUGCUGACAGUUAUAGUUAUCUUUGAAAUGCUAUAAAAUUGGGUUGUGAUGAUCAUUGUACAACUAUAAAUGUAAUAAAUUCAUUGAGUAAUAUACAAAAAAUUCUUUAAAACAAAAAACAAAACAAAACCAAAAAAAAAUUCUUCUGCCUAAAGCAUGUUGAGUUAGAGUUUAGGAAUAACAUUAGCUAUAAACAUGUAGAAUAUAUAGAACAGGAAUUAUAAUAUAUUCAUAUUCAUCCUUUUUCAGAAAUAAUUUAUAGUACCUAAAAUAUAGAUUAAUCUUUGAAUCUAAAUUGCUUCCUUUUUGAUUAGUUCAUAAGGGUCAACAUCUAAUGAAAUUAACUAGAUACUAUAGAAGACAGAAAAAGAUCAAAUCUGACAUAACCCAGGAGAGAUAAGAACGUGUCUUUGAACAUUAACAGGGAGCAUGAUCACUACUGUUUUGUGCACUGAUCAACAUCUUUGCCUGCACGUCCUUAUGAGAGGUUUACAGGCAGCUGUGUGAAAGCUAAUAUAGGGAUUCUGGAUGGAAAAGAGCCCAGGAUUUCCCAUUGUGGCUCAGCAGUAAUGAAUUCAAGUAGUAUCCACUAGCACAUGGGUUCAAUCCUUGACCUCGCUCAGUGGGUUAAGGAUAAAACGUUGCCAUGAGCUGUUGUAUAGGUUGCAGAUGCAGCUUGGAUCCCAAGUUGCUGUUGUGUAGGUUGGCAGCUGUAGCUCCAAUUCGACCCCUAGCCUGGGAAUUUCCAUAUGCCGCAGGCGUGGCCCUAAAAAGACCAGAAAAGAAAAGAAAAAGAAAAGAUCUAAAAAGAAAAGAAAAGAAGGAAGGAAGAGAGAGAGAGAGAGAGAAAGAAAGAAAGAAAGGGAAAGAAAGAAAAGAAAAAAGAAAAGGGCUGCAAUGUCCUGGAAUUAAACUGUUCGCCUGAGAAAACAAUCAAGGACUGUGACUUUCAAUCAAUGGUCCAGGUAACACAUGAAAGGAAAUCUGAAACUCCAGCUUGAAAAACCCCUCACCCAGCAAGUUAGAAUUGCAGAGAUAAAAGUUUUCUGGAAACACAUAGGCAAAAAUAUUGUUUCCAACAAAACAACAAAAAUCAUACUUUACUCAGAAAGGUAAGUACUGAAAAUGUGGCACAAUGGUAGAGGAAUUCAGGAAAAAAAUGUUUAGACUCAAGAAUGAUAUACCCUAUUGUACUUUCCAUGUUCUUGAAACAGAGGGACCUGCUUUGGAAUGUGACAGCUCAGUGUAUGGCCCCAGCUGCUUUUCCCAAAUCUAACACACACACACACACACACACACACACACACACACACACGUAUGCGUGCAGCAUAAAACGGAAUUUAGCCAACAGCCUUUGUGAGGGAGAUCAAAUUAAGUAACUCAGGAUGAGGGAUGUUUCCCAUAAAAGUAGGAACAGUGAACACUGAAACUGAGUCACCAAAACUUCACUCUAAAGUAAAUGUUCUGAGAGGAAGAAGGUCAGGAGGCAGAUCCCACAGAAACAAUGGUGGAUUCUGAGCAGUUUUCUCCUCUUGGGUGGGGCAAUACUGGGCUAAUCUGCUGUUGAAAUCAUCCACUUACCUUGUUAAUUAAAUGACUGUUUUCAGUAUCAAGAUGUUUGUUUUCUUUCCAAAUCUGACCUUUCAAAAAUAUUUUCUCUUAUCCCUUAUGUGUUCCAUUUUUUACAAUUUUUUCUUUAUCAUUAAAAAAUGUUUAUUUUACCAUCUUCAUUUAAUUUUCUGUUAUUUGAAAUCUAUAAUGGUUCAUUAAAAGUCACACCUGUUUAGGGGAGAUCUGUCUUUGAUUAUUCUCUGAUUCUACAUCAUCAUCAUCUUUUUUUUUUUUUUGUCUUUUGUCUUUUGUCUGUUUAGGGCCACACCCAUGGCAUAUGGAGGUUCCCAGGCUAGGGGUCGAAUGGGAGCUGCAGCUGCCAGCCUAUGCCAUAGCCACAGCAAUGUGGGACCUGAGCCAAGUCUGCGACCUACACUACAGCUCACGGUAACGCUGGAUCCUUAACCCACUGAGCAAGGCCAGGGAUCAAACCUGUGUCCUCAUGGAUGCAAGCUGGGUUCGCCAACCACUGAGCCACAACGGGAACUCCUACAUCAUCAUCUUUUUGAGUCUUAUGUGACCCGGAUUGAGGGCACAUCCGACAAAAUCAGUUGUCAGUUGCUUAGCAAGUAUGGAAGGCUCCUCUGCCUUGGGACCACCUCAUGUGUUAUUUCUUGGCGUAGAUCUUCCUGAGUGUCCCAGCAACAGAUAUUCACAUCCCAGACUGACUGAGGGCAUGGCUGUGACACUGAAGUUGCAAGUUGCUCAGGUGAGAGAGGUGCACCCAGGACCGACUCGGUCGGGGCCCUGGUGUCUCUCCUACCAAACUCUCAUGGAGUGAGUAUCUGCUUGCACAGGAACCACAAUUACAGCUGCUACUGAGCAUCACUUUGCAGUUAGUUGAUUGAGAUUUACCCUAUUUUCUUAUGAGUUCAUCUUUGCAUUUAUUGAAGUAAUAGUUCAUCCAGUAUUUUAAAACAUUUUUUAAUAAGAAGGGUUUUGAUGUGCAGUUCAUGGAAGAAAUGGAAAUUUCGUGAUCUGAUUGUAAAGUUGUCUUCAUUCUUAUCUAAUACUUGCAGUUUACAGUGACCUGUGUGGCCGACCCAGUGCAGUGGUUCCCAUGUUUAUCUCCUUCAGUGACGUUUUUUUCUUUUCUUUCUUUCCUUCUUUCCUUCUUUCUUUCUUUCUUUCUUUCUUUCUCUUUCAUUUUCUUUCUUUCUUUUCCUUCCUUCCUUCCUUUUGUCUUUUUGACUUUUCUAGGGCCAAAUCCACGGCAUGUGGAGGUUCCCAGGAUAGGGGUCUAAUCGGAGCUACCGCCACCAGCCUAUACCACAGCCACAGCACUGCCAGAUCCGAACCAGAUCUGUGACCUACACCACAGCUCACUGCAUCGCAAGAUCCUUAACCCACUGAGUGAGGCCAGGGAUCAAACCUGCAACUUCAUGGCUCCUAGUCGGGUUUGUUAACCACUGAGCCACGAUGGGAACUCCCAGUGACGUUUUUCUUCUUCCGGUUCAUGGUUUGGCACUUCGCUUAAACUCUGGAUGGAAACCACCUAGAAGGGGAUGCAUAUGUUUGGCCUUGAGGCUGCUGUGAGGCAGCUGGCAAGUCAUCAUCCUUACACUGAACAGGAAGGAUUUGUGUCUCCAGGUCCCACCAUGUGUUCAGCACCCUCCUCUCCCAGUGCUGAAUAGACUCCAUCCAUCACUGUCAUUUUUCUUCAGGCCCACAGGGGUCAGAAUCACAAACAGAAUUUCCAAAAGUGCAGUUUCUCUCGACAUGAUCCACAACUGAGUUAUGGAAUUUAGUUUUAGGGAGAAAGCUCUGAAGCAGAAAGAUUUAAGAUUGAGUUGCUUUUUCUGCAGAACCUGAACAAUUUUUAAUAGCAAAAAAAACCCCAAUUAAUUUAUAUUUUGGCUUUAACAUAUAGAGUCCAUUCAUUCUACAAAUGGAAAUGAACAAAGACAGACGAUAAAAAUACAUUUCCAAGUAACCAUAUGGUUCCCUUGUAUUAGUUAUAUUGGAAAUAAGGAGAAUGAAGGACAUGUUAAAUAGUAUUAAAUAUUAGAGAAUCUCCUUGGCCUGAUGCCAUGGUAUCGUGUACACAGAAAUGCUAGAGCCAAGAACUCAAAAACCGUCCAAGACAAGUUGGUGGGGGGAUAUUUUGUAGAAAAGCUCCAGAAAUCUCUGUUGAGCCACGGUUGCUGGCGAGCUCUCUUUAUUAAGGAGGCCAACAUGCAAAUCGAAGCUGGUUCUUGGCCUUUCCUCAGCCCACAGGCCAAGGGCUGCAGUUCAUUCGCCAGCACCCCCAUCACCUCUCACUGUCCAUCCUUUGGCAGUGUUUUCCCAUUGAAACCACAGAAGGAGCCACUUUAGUAUAUUCUGUUUGGAUUAGAAACAAGAACACUGUAUACCUCCAGUUGAGUAGAAACCUAACUGUUCCAAUGUUAACAAACAUAAAUAAAAUAGUAUUUUUAACAAAUGAAAAGACUGACAUCCUUUGGAAGCUGCCAAGGGUUUUUACUCGUUUCUAUUAAUAAAGAGUCAGUUCUUCUUUCCACUCCAUUUAAUCAACUGGAAAAGGCAAAUCUGCUUAUUUUCAAAAAUCCUCAUUUCCCAAAAGUAAAAACUGAAAGCCCAGAAAACAAUUAUGGGAAAAGUGGCAGACCAAAGUACACUAAUCACUCAUGCUGCGUAAAGUUUUCUUGAACAUCAUUUUCAAUUGCUUCUUUUUCACUUGAAUGCUUUAUACACAUUCCCUCAAAAGCCUAGAGUCUGGAAUUUGAAAAAUUGUUCUGACUAAUAUAAAAAGUACUUUCUUAUGAAAAAAACUAAAGAUCAGAGUUCUAGAGAGUAUAUAAAAAUACCCUUCCUCUUUUGGUCUUCUAAUAUCUGCAAUCUAAUGUAUGGAUCAAAAAUAAAGCUACUUUACAAAGUUUUGAGUUGUAAGUAUAGUAAAUCAAUUUUAGUUUAUAGUUAUUGUUUUAUGGAUCGCACAAGAAUUUUCACUAUCUGGUCCAUAAAUAGGGUGACUAAAUAGAGUUUUGUAAUAUAUGUAUCUGAAAAAAAAAAUGUGUGUCAUCUCCAUUUAAUCAUAUCGCAGCUUUAUUUUGAGAAAGACAUGAUUUGCUUGUUUUAAGUCAGGAUGCAGUUGAGAAAGGCCAUGGAAAUGUCUUCCAGAAAGUGGAAAGGACAAUGCAUUCUUAUGGUGCCAUAGCUGUUUAGCCUCAGUGAAGAUACAGCCUCAGCAGUAGAAAAGCAAUCCUCUCUUGAAGAGCUAAAUCUUAUUUGUGCUUAAAAUUACCAAGAGCCCCAGGGUGACAAUGAAGUUGUUCUCAAAGUUCUGCUUGGGAAUUUGUUAGAAAUUCCCACUGACAUUAAUGGGAGUUUUAUAGGCAGUUUUACUCCCAUCGUGAGAGUUUCGGCUAGAGUGCUUCUGCCAGCUAUUCACAGAUUUAUGAAAAAAAAUAUUUUGAGUUGUGGGUGUGUCUAGAAAUGUUGAAAUAGGAGUUCCCAUUGUGGCGCAGCCGAAACAGAUCUGACUAGGGACCGUAAGGUUGUGGGUUUGAUCUCUGGCCUUGCUCAGUGGGCUAAGGAUCCGGCAUUGCCAUGAGCUGUGGUGUAGGUCGCAGAUGUGGCUUGGAGCAGGCAUUGCUGUGGCUGUGCAGGCUGGCAGCUGUAGCUCCGAUUGGAUCCCUAGCCUGGGAACCUCCAUAUGC